UACGAAGGGUGCAAACGUUGCUCGGAAUUAUUGGGCGUAAAGCGCACGUAGGCGGCUUAGCAAGUCGGAAGUGAAAUCCCUCGGCUCAACCAAGGAAGUGCUUUCGAAACUGCUGAGCUUGAGUACUUAAGAGGAUCGCGGAAUUCCCGGUGUAGAGGUGAAAUUCGUAGAUAUCGGGAGGAACACCAGUGGCGAAGGCGGCGAUCUGGGCCGAUACUGACGCUGAGGAGCGAAAGCGUGGGGAGCGAACAGG
rnacentral:rRNA from 1 species